GGACAGACUCAGGGUUUAGUGACUUGGUAAUAAACAGUCAUUAUUGAACGCUAGGGACAGACUCAGGGUUUAGUGACUUGGUAAUAACAGUAAUUAUUGAACGCUAGAGACAGACUCAGGGUUUAGUGACUUGGUAAUAACAGUAAUUAUUGAACGCUAUUGACUUGGAGACUCGACGUUUAGUGACUUGGUAAUAAACAGCAGUAACCAAUAAUAGAGUGACCAGACUGAGACACAACUUGAGGUUUAAGAGCAGUUUAUUGUUCAUCGAUACUACUUAAGUACAAAAAAGGUGGCCUGCCAAAACCUUUUUAGUUGGAGGAACAAGGCCACAAAAUGAAGGUUUAACACAGAUUUACUAACAGCAUGGACAGUAGAAUACAGAAUACUACAAAUGAAUUACAAUGUUGAUGCAGCUUCCAAGUGAAGGAACUUGAAUAUUUACUGUUUCAUUUGGUUGCAUCCAAAAUGGUACCUAAUUCCCUAUGUAUCUGCUGUUGACUAGUACACUACAUAGGGAAAAUGGUGUCAUUUUGGAUGCAUAUCAUUGAUUUGGAAGCACACAGCCAGUCUUCCUGGGAUCUUCGAUUAAAUAACAUGGCUAAUACAGUAGCAUCUUUAUCCCAAACUGGUUGGAUGACUAUCUGGCUAUACCUGUUAUUACUGGAUCACAAACAAGUCAAACAAGAUGGAUGACAACAAUCUUUUGUUCAAUUGUCUCAAGAGGCAAAAGGUUGAAUAAAGAGGAUUGGUUACAAAUGGCACUAUUCCCUAUAUAGGGAAUCCGGUGAUUGUUUGGGACAUAACCGUUAUGCCUUUGUAGACUGUCUGCUGAGUAGCCUUUAUGGAGCAUUAUAACUGCUAAAAUACACAAGUGGCUAUCAUCAACGCAGUGUUUUCAUAUUAUUACUGUGUUCCUGCACUUUAACCUUUUAAAAAUUAAAAAAUAAAACAUCUAAAAAAACUAAACAAAAAAGAUCAACUUUUUUUUUUUACACCAAAAAAAAAGAAGUUAUAAAAUGCAUGAUUGGACAAAAAAAAGGGAAAUUAAAUAGCUACAUAUCAUUAACAAAUUCAUUGAUCCUCCAAAAAUACCUAUGAUUUUUAUCUUCUCUGUACAUUUCGUUACGCACAGCGUAAUGAUGGUCUUAUAGUUUACCUAUAUAAAAAAUACUUUGUCAUUAAGUGAUUUUCCUACAGCGUGUAGGGAAUUGUGUUGCCGAAGCAGAACAAGUGUGAGCCUCCAAAAUUCCGUUAACUUUCCCAAAAACUCCCAGAUUCUGUUUGGAGGAUUCCCGCAUUUUCUGCUUUUUUGCCCUCCUGAUCCUGUGAAUCUUCCAACCGGGAUUUCUAGAAAACCUGGGAAUUUUGGGAAAAGGUAUUAGAAAUGUACUACUACCUAGUGACGGUAAUGAAAUGUGUUUUAGGAUAAAUGAUUUCAGGACACUAGGGUCCCCUUCCCUCUGUGUUCAUGCACUACAAAUGAUGGUUCAUUUCACCACAAUGGCCUAAAUAAAACGUUUUUCUCAUAACAUUUACAGAAAGUACAGAUCAAUCAUUCAUCUGUUAUGAACUACUAUAGAUUAGAAGAGUUUCUUUACAUCUAAACUCAUUUAACAUUAAAGUCAAUAAUAAUAACAACAACAACUGACUGGCAGCUGGAUCCCGGCUCUCAGAGAAUAUGUUUUCGGCUUCAUCCCAAAUGGGUCCCUAUUCCCUACAUAGUGCACUACUUUUGGACAGACAAGUUUGAGAAAAGCACCAAAAGAGAAUAUUGUCAAAAGAGUCCGUUCCUGGUCUUGCUCUCAUUUCUGCUCGUCUUCCUUUGAGGAGAUGAAGGGCUGGCCAAAAGUAGUGCACUGCCUAGGAAAUAGGGUAGCAUUUAGGAAGUGUAGCUUAGUCAAUGUAAAUAUGUUGAAUGUCCAAGGAUAUGAGUUGGGAUGAUGGAAUGUAAGGACAUGUAUAAAAGGUUUUAAAGCGUUAAGAUGGACAGUGCCUCAUAAACCCUUAGAGCUUUACCAUGUUCUGGCACCUCAUAGUUAUCAAUCACCACUAGGGUUGUACAUUUCCGGUAACUUGGAUUUUUGGAUUUUCCAGAAUCUUCCAACCCGGAAUUUCCCGGGAAAUCGAGGAAUUUUGGAAACGUUUCUGGAAUUUCGCAACCCUAAUCACCACCUUUCCGUUAAUAAGUUAGUAGCUAUAGUGAGAAGGAUGAUACACCUGUACUAGGUUUCCUACAGGAAGGAAUGUAUGCUGCCUCGGUACAGGUUGGUAAAGAAGGAGUUAUUAAAACAAGUCAGUUUCACAAGCCGCAGCAGGCUACCUACCACUACACAACAUAGUUGUUCAUCAGAGAAGAAGAAACAACAUCGAAAAUACAAAAAUAAAAACAAAAUAAAAAACCGUCUCAACAGAAUCAUGAUCUGCGUGUGGUUGAGUCUGGGUCCAUCUCCCUGUUGUUUAUUCCGUUUUCUCUUAUUCAGUCACGAAAAAAAUAAAACGCUGUCGCAUUCCUGUACCAGGGAUUAUUAAUAACGUUAUAGAAACGUCAUGUUAACGUUAUAGAAACGUCAUGUUAACGUUAUAGAAACGGCCUGUUAACGUUAUAUUAACGUUUAACAUUAUAGAGACGUCAUGUUAACGUUAUAGAAACGUCAUGUUAACGUUAUAGAGACGUCAUGUUAACGUUAUAGAAACGCCAUGUUAACGUUAUAGAGACGUCAUGUUAACGUUAUAUUAACGUUUAACAUUAUAGAGACGUCAUGUUAACGUUAUAGAAACGCCAUGUUAACAUUAUAGAGACGUUAUAUUAACGUUUAACAUUAUAGAGACGUCAUGUUAACGUUAUAGAAACGCCAUGUUAACAUUAUAGAGACGUCAUGUUAACGUUAUAGAGACGUCAUGUUAACGUUAUAGAAACGUUUAACAUUAUAGAGACGUCAUGUUAACGUUAUAGAAACGUCGUGGUAACGUUAUAGAAACGUUAUAGAGACAUCAUGUUAACGUUAUAGAGACGUCAUGGUAACGGUAUAGAAACGUUGUACAAACGUCAUGUUAACGUUAUAGAAACGUUAUAGAGACAUCAUGUUAACGUUAUAGAAACGUCAUGGUAACGUUGUAGAAACGUCAUGGUAACGUUAUAGAAACGUUGUAGAAACGUCAUGUUAACGUUGUAGAUUAUACUCCAACUGAUCAGAUAGAGCAGUAUAGAAGGCUGUCCUCUGUGUCGCUAGCUGGCUGCUCCCAGAGAGAAUAUUACUGAAGAUACCUAAAUAAUAACUUGGAGUACAACUGUACCAGCAAGCCCAAAUCUACCUACCAACCACACUGCUGCAGAGGAGCUAUCUAUUCUAAACCAUAGAGCCCAAAUCUACCUACCAACCACACUGCUGCAGAGGAGAGAGGAGCUAUCUAUUCUAAACCAUAGAGCCCAAAUCUACCUACCAACCACACUGCUGCAGAGAGAGAGGAGCUAUCUAUUCUAAACCAUAGAGCCCAAAUCUACCUACCAACCACACUGCUGCAGAG
rnacentral:lncRNA from 1 species